ACUUUUCCAAAGUUUGUGAAAAAGCCUAAUUUCUACUCAAACUCAUGGGUUCUUGCAUGAAACGAUUUCAAAUGAUAAGUUAUGAUAUUAUUGAUGUUUAUUUGAUGUUUUAAGAUGAAAAACUCCAUGAAUCCUUGUAUUCUACAAAACCCCAAAAUGUGUUUAUGAAGUGGGUCUAUUUCUAUAAAUUCAAAGUUGAUGGAAU
rnacentral:lncRNA from 1 species